CCCUUAGAUGUUCUGAGCCGCACGCGCGCUACACUGAUGCAUUCAACGAGUUUCUUCCUGGUCCGAGAGGAAUGGGUAACCUUUUGAAAGUGCAUCGUGAUAGGGAUAGACUAUUGCAAUUAUUGGUCUUCAACGAGGAAUUCCUAGUAGACGUAGUUCAUCAGACUGCAUCGAUUACGUCCCUGCCCUUUGUACACACCGCCCGUCGCUCCUACCGAUUGAAUGCUCAGGUGAGCCAUUCGGACUUUCAUCAUGCUGGUUUCCAGUUUUGAUGAAGGAAAGUCUUGCGAACCUUAUCAUUUAGAGGAAGGAGAAGUCGUAACA
rnacentral:rRNA from 1 species